CCUACGGGGUGCUGCAGUAGGGAAUCUUCCACAAUGGGCGAAAGCCUGAUGGAGCAACGCCGCGUGGGUGAAGAAGGUCUUCGGAUCGUAAAACCCUGUUGUUAGAGAAGAAAGUGCGUGAGAGUAACUGUUCACGUUUCGACGGUAUCUAACCAGAAAGCCACGGCUAACUACGUGCCAGCAGCCGCGGUAAUACGUAGGUGGCAAGCGUUAUCCGGAAUUAUUGGGCGUAAAGGGAACGCAGGCGGUCUUUUAAGUCUGAUGUAAAAGCAUUCGGCUUAACCGGAGUAGUGCAUGGGAAACUGGGAAACUGGAGUGCAGAAGAGGAGAGUGGAACUCCAUGUGUAGCGGUGAAAUGCGUAGAUAUAUGGAAGAACACCAGUGGCGAAAGCGGCUCUCUGGUCUGUAACUGACGCUGAGGUUCGAAAGCGUGGGUAGCAAACAGGAUUAGAUACCCUGGUAGUC
rnacentral:rRNA from 1 species